GUGAGGAAUAUUGGACAAUGGAGGCAACUCUGAUCCAGCCAUGCCGCGUGCAGGAAGACGGUCCUAUGGAUUGUAAACUGCUUUUAUACAGGAAGAAACCUCUCCACGUGUGGAGAGCUGACGGUACUGUAAGAAUAAGCACCGGCUAACUCCGUGCCAGCAGCCGCGGUAAUACGGAGGGUGCAAGCGUUAUCCGGAAUCAUUGGGUUUAAAGGGUCCGUAGGCGGACUAAUAAGUCAGGGGUGAAAUCCAACAGCUUAACUGUUGAACUGCCUUUGAUACUGUUAGUCUUGAAUUAUAUGGAAGUAGAUAGAAUGUGUAGUGUAGCGGUGAAAUGCUUAGAGAUUACACAGAAUACCGAUUGCGAAGGCAGUCUACUACGUAUAUAUUGACGCUAAUGGACGAAAGCGUGGGGAGCGAACAGGAUUAGAAACCCCUGUAGUCC
rnacentral:rRNA from 1 species